GUCACUUAAGGAGCGAUAUGUAGAACUAACAGUUGCUGUAUCAAGUGUAAUGAGGCGUAAUAGCUAAAUAACAUUAAUUAAACAUUAAACAGCUGACAUUAGUCAUAGGAGCUUAAAACGAACAGUGUGGUGCAGGAAAAUAUACCAACAAGAGAGGCGCAAGUUAGGUUUGGAAAUAGGGCCGCAAAGUAACCCGUGCAAUCGCCAUCCUGAUAUGUUGACAGCAAGAGAAGAAACAAUAAACAUUAAACCUAACCUAAAGAUGACAAUUUACAACAACCUUCUUCAACUUGGUAAUUUUAAUAUAUAUUUAGAAAUUAAGAAGGUAGUUGAAAGCGUUAGGGCAUACAGAAUGCCAUUAUCCGGUAAUAGCAAUGAACUAGUCAUGUAUAUGAGGAAUCGAGUGGAGAAAGGUUCCAUAAUUCAAUUAGGACCGCAGCAGGAAUCCGUCGCAAGCCAGAGAUAUAGAAUAUAAGUAUGUAACGUAUGUAACGGUGUAGUGUACAAAGCAAAACAGGAAUAUUAUCUGAAAGGUUGCGGCCACCCUUGUAUCCGAUGUGACUUAAUUCGAACACAUCAGGAAUGAAUAAGAUCACUGCGACAACUCAACUCCCAUCACCGAAGCAGAAGACUGCAAGACGAGAACUUGGUAUAAUCAAUUGGAGCAACCAUGAAAGUAGGUACAUCUAGGUCACAUAGGAAAGUACAGUUCACUGUGUUUUAUUUAAUCAGCACUGCAGGCUGCAGUAAUUGUAAUAAUUAAAUCAUUAGAGGAAAGAGGAAAAAAUUAACAUGAAAUUGACAUGACGUAACUGAACCAUGAUACUGCUGACGUCAAUUUAGAGAUUCCAGCAGUGGCCAGAAGAUGCCAUCCAAACAAACAGAACUGUUACUAUACUAGGAAUUCGCAAGACUAAGGGUAGCAGGCACAUUGACUGACAGAUUGGGUCCGAACCAAGCCGCCAGCGCGCUACUUGGAAUGGAAUGAAACAAAAUGUUUGAGCAUUAGACCUACGCCAAGGACUAAAAGGUUUAGAGGGUUUACAAACGGGGUUACAAAACCCCACCAGUGGCAAUAACCGUGAGUACCAAUUACAGCUGAAAGAGGAAAAUAUAGGGAUGAAGGAAGCGAGGAGUAAAACUGAAUAGAUAAUAAGCACUAAUGGACAAGAAAUAAUCAUCCGCAACGAAAAAACGAAACUUCCAUGCAUCGUAUAAGAUUUCGCCAGAAAGUGUACCCAUACAAAGAGGACUAGAAGUUGAUAACUCCAAAAGUAGGACAAUAAAGCAACAACAAUAACGAUGAUACUGACAAUGAACAGAACAUGACAUAGAUAUAACAGAAUGAUCGUAACGGCCGAAAGGAUCGAAGAGAGGCCAGGAAGAAUAAUUGAUUACCCGCCCAUAUAGGUGCAUGAGGAUGCACCAUCAGCUGUAAGCAGCCCCUUAUCAGUGAUGGAACCACGCCACCAUGCACUGCAUCACAUUGCAGCAGGAAGUAUACUGAUACCAAGCCGAAAGAAUCCCGCUUGCUCACGUUCAGUAAAACAAAUAAACAAGGCAAAGCAAUUGACUGGUCGAAAUUAAAUGCAAUUACAAUGGUGGGAAGAACCCAACAGUGCGCAUCCAUGACCAGUGACAAACUACAAAAUUGUCGAUGCUUCAAGCGCAUCACAAUAUACGCAACACAUACAAUACACGCAAUACACGCAAUGCAUGCAAGCAUGCAGUAUACAUGAGAUACACGUGCACGCACUCAUGCAUGCGCAGAGUCAGUAAGGAGAGAGUACCAAACCGGGAUGACACAGCAGGUGAUCCCAAGGUUAAAGGCUACAGAAAGCAGAAACAGAAGCCGUCUUAACCACGCGAGCGGCAACAUAACACAUCAAAAUAUCUAUAGCUAAGGGAUUUAUUGCAGACAGGAACGCACACCAAUGGUGCAGUGUACCAAGAGACAGCAAAUAAAUACCAUCAAUCAGGAAAUGCAAAAGGCAGGCCCCUAUCCACUAUUAUGCCCUUUAAUAUCCAGUCUCCUAAUAAGUAAAUUUAAAUUAAAUUAAAAUUAAAUUACAUAAUUUAACGAAUUUAACGAUCUUAACGAUCUUGUAAACACAAUGAGUAAAAUUAAAUAUCGGCCAGAAGACACGUUACUUAUAUUGUUAAAUCCGAGCAAUCUGAGCAGUAUCCAUUCGUCUGCAAACUGCAUUUGGCCACCGUAUAAGAUGCAUGUAAAAUGUAAG